rnacentral:misc_RNA from 1 species
AGAGAUAUUAAAACCAAGUCGGCAAACAGGUUGGAGAAUUUAGUGAGUGUUGAGUUGCCACGUUGAGCCGAAGGAGCUGUCAUCUGUUUACCUUGCAACACCAGCACCACCAGCAACACCCGCGCCUCCCCUGCACUCAACACCGCCGCAGCCAUGGUUUCCGUGAUCAGCAAUGUGGAGACGGGCCACGAUGAUAUGAUCCACGAUGCCCAGAUGGACUUUUUUGGCACCCGUCUUGCCACCUGCUCCUCAGACCGCUCCGUCAAGAUCUUUGAGGUGAAGGGGUCCACACACACCCUAGUGGCCAACCUCAGAGAACACGAGGGACCGGUGUGGCAGGUGGCGUGGGCGCACCCAAUGUUCGGCAACAUCCUGGCGUCCUGCAGCUACGACCGCAAAGUGAUCAUUUGGCAGGAGGACGGACACAAGUGGAAGAAGAUACAUGAACACGCCAACCACGACUCAUCAGUGAACAGCGUGUGUUGGGCGCCACAUGAGCACGGCCUGGUGUUGGCGUGUGCCUCGGCGGAUGGCUCAGUGUCCAUCCUCACCUCCACUGCUCACACCUGGGAGUUUAAGAAGAUCACCAACGCUCAUUCGAUUGGCUGUAACUCCGUCAGCUGGGCGCCUGCUGUGGCCUCAGGGUCAGCGGACGGCUCAGGGCGGACGGGGGCAAUACCAGUCCAGCGCAUUGUGACAGGCGGGUGCGACACUUAUGUAAAAAUCUGGCGUCUGGAUGGCACGAGUGGAGACUGGGUGGAGGAGAACAAGAUGGAGGGACAUUCUGAUUGGGUGAGAGAUGUGGCCUGGGCUCCCUCCAUCGGCCUGCCUCGCUCCAUCAUUGCCUCAUGCUCUCAGGACCGGCGCGUGAUCAUCUGGGUGAACGACGGGGUGACCGGUGUGUGGCAACCCCGAGAAUUGAACACCUUCGAUGACGUCAUUUGGCAUGUCAGCUGGUCCGUCACUGGCAACAUUCUGGCUGUGUCCGGCGGGGAUAACAAGGUGAGCUUGUGGAAGGAGAACCUGGAUGGGCAGUGGGUGUGUCUGAGUGACUCCGCCAAGAGCCAGCCAACCUCCGAACAGCGCACCUUAUAAAGAGACAAGUGUAGAGGAACACUGUACAACCUCACUAUUAAUGCCCUCAGCAUCAUGACACACUUCCAUAUGCAUUCUGGCGACCAUUUGGCAAUUUUACACACCUUCAGAAACAUAGGUGGAGAUUAGAAUAGUGAAGACUGUGGGCCAUUAAUCUCCUGACCUCCUGACCCUUCCUAAUGUCAGUAAAAUGGUCUAAUACCCCAGAAAAUCAAGGUUAAUAAAUGCAUCCCAGUACUGAAGGAGGUACAAGAAGGGAAUCAAUACAGAGGGGCGAGUUUUAUGUAGUAGUUGUGAGCUGAGUGAAGGUUGGCAAGGAAGGUGUGGGAAUUGUAACUAUGAUGUGGAAAUGUAAGGCAGAAUUUUGUGUUUAAUUAAAGGUUCUUGUUGUUAAUUAUGGAUGAGGGGAAUGAUAUAUGGUGUGUGUGUGUGUGUGUGUGUGUGUGUGUGUGUGUGUGUGUGUGUGUGUGUGUGUGUGUGUGU